GUCCACGCCCUAACGAUGUCAACUAGGUGUUGGGUGGGUAAACCAUUUAGUACCGGAGCUAACGCGUGAAGUUGACCGCCUGGGAGUACGGCCGCAAGGUUAAACUCAAAGGAAUUGACGGGACCCGCACAAGCGGUGGAUGAUGUGGAUUAAUUCGAUGCAACGCGAAACCUUACCUACCCUUGACAUGUCCCAGGAUCCUGAAGAGAUUUGGGAGUGCCCGAAAGGGAACUGGAACACAGGUGCUGCAUGGCUGUCGU
rnacentral:rRNA from 1 species